rnacentral:lncRNA from 1 species
GUGCUUCAAGAGCUGGAGAAGCUUUGCUGAACAACAGCUAUUAUCCAGGCAACAUCUGGAAUGCCUUCAGAUCAGCACCUUGCGGUCAUGCGUCCAGCAAUGGUACCUGAUGGUCCAGGUCCGGGAAAACGCCAGGAAGAGGUUGCUCCAGCUGUUGGCUUUGAACCAGACCAGAUCCCAGGGAAUAACGCAAGAUGNAGGUCUUAAGGCUGAUGUGCUCCAACCAUGUUUAAACCUUCCAAGAUGGUCCCCAAGCANUGGAGUCGAUGCUAUGGAGGGCCUCUACCACGCACUGACUCUGCAACGGAUGUUUCGGACCUGGGAAAGAAGAUGGCAGGAAUCCUGGCAACUCAAGGCUCUUCAAAGCACCCUGGCCCGGCGGCAACUGAGAAGGGCUUUUGAGCGGUGGCGUGNGAAGACCACGCUCCAAGUGCACCCCCCUGGACCUGAGCCCCACGACCUCGCCGAGGACCCUUCCCUUCUCUCGCUGGAUUCUGAGAACGCUUCUUUCUCCUCUGGGUUCCAUAGCAGUGUACCAGGCUACUACAGCGGCAGGGAUUUGUUGUCCCAGGUAACCAAGCCUCACCAACAGCCCAAACACGCUUGCCCGGAACCCCUCAGCUGGUGGUUUCCUUUCUAAGACCCGUUUUAGGCUUUUCCUUCCGGCCCCUGUGCCCACGGUUGCAGAACUUGGCUUUUCUUCCCCAUCUCCCCAUGCCUGGGCAUGGUGGUUCCGUUCCUAACCCACCUGCUGUAAGCGUCUUUGCCCCCUUUGGCAGCAGAGGGGGNGGUGUUGGGUUGUGGGUGCAACUUAAACGCUUGGCACUUACAAGCACGGCAGUGGAGCUCCCUUUUCUUUGCAAACAGGAAAGCCACCUGGCAGAUGAAAGCCAUUGCAGUGGUUCUUCCCCAGAGACUGCUGAGAACAUCACACACCUUUGGAAGUGGAGGCAGCUGCUUAUGGAAAGCUUUAUGCUUUGGUUGUCUCAGACUCAGAAAAAGCUGAAGGCUCAGCAGCACUAUCAACGUGUCCUUCUGUCCAGGACUUUCAUUUCCUGGUUUGUAACCACUGCCCNCACUUCGGCACAGAAUCCUGCCCUUCACCAGUUUCACUGUAUGAGACAACAGCGCCUUGUGGCGUCCUGUUUUGGGAAGUGGAGGACAGAAUUUUUGCAAAGCAACCAGANGCAGAAAGAGGGAACAUGCCAACCAUGCCUUAGGGGGACCACAUGGCGCUGGAGGAAAGCAACCAGGGGUUACCAGGCGGUGCACUUGAAAUCCAUGAAUGAGGCCUGUACUUAUUGGACAAGAGCGGCCAUUUUCCGACAAUGCUUCCGACAGAGAGCUGGUCUUGUUGGAGUUCGGAAGUUCCUGAAAAUGCCUCUUUCGUGGCCCAGUGGUAGGAACCAAAGCUCCUGGUGUGCUUUAUUUGUGGGAUUCAUUAUACAAGGGACUCAGCCACACCUAAAUUUGAAUCCAGCUUCAGUCCACUUUUGGAUUGAAAGAACCCACCAGCAAAGUGCCUAA